AGAUAUAAGGCUUUUGAUUGGCUAUUGCACUGAGGAAGUUAUCUUUUUGAAAACAACAACUUUUGAAAAAUAAGCUGGUGUCAGCAAUUGAAUAUUGAGCUAAAUUUAAUUCAGCAACAUUAAUAUAAUGAAGUGAAAGACUUAUAAUGGUAGUGUAAAAUGUCUUGAAAUUCUGUCAGCAUGAAGUAUUGUGUGAUGAAAACAAUGUGUUUUUUACUGCAAUGUGGAAAUCAAUAAUAAGAUUGUUGGAAAGGAGGUUGAACUGCCUGUUGUUGUUUUUGGAAUACUGAAGAACAGUUUUAACAGGUUAAACUCUUGCCACAAGGCAAAAUUGACAUCAAUGGGAAGAUCCUUUGGAAAGAAUGUGCAUCAUCGCCUGCCUGAUGUAUGGACUUUUAAACCUGGUUUUUACCCUGCACAAGCUGGCAAACUUGAGGGGAACAACAGUGGGAAAACCUCGCCCUGUCCUUGACCAAGAAAGCUCGAUUUGUUGAGAGAUCAACUGGCAUAAGAGAUGCUCAAGAGGAGAAGGACACAAGCAGCAUCAAUGGUACAACUACGUGUCGCUCCAGGGCCCGCUUUCCAGGUCUCUACCAGCUGCUUUCCAGGUCCCUCCACCCGCCAAGAUCAG